UUACCUUUUUCAUAUGAGGAGCAAUGUUUGUGAAUUCAUGUGCUACAAACGUGCCCUGCCGGUUACGUCACUUGCGUUGAAACCACUGC